rnacentral:rRNA from 1 species
AUUGAACGCUGGCGGCGUGCUUAACACAUGCAAGUCGAUCGGUAACGCGGGGGCAACCCUGGCGACGAGAGGCGGACGGGUGAGGAACGCUUGGGAAUCUGCCCUUCAGCGGGGGACAACCCGGGGAAACUCGGGCUAAUACCGCAUACGCUCCAAGGAGGAAAGCCGGGGACCGCAAGGCCUGGCACUGAAGGAUGAGCCCAAGCCGGAUUAGCUAGUUGGCGGGGUAACGGCCCACCAAGGCGACGAUCCGUAGCUGGUCUGAGAGGACGAUCAGCCACACCGGAACUGAGACACGGUCCGGACUCCUACGGGAGGCAGCAGUGGGGAAUAUUGGACAAUGGGGGAAACCCUGAUCCAGCGACGCCGCGUGGGUGAAGAAGGCCUGCGGGUUGUAAAGCCCUUUCGGUAGGGACGAAAACUCUUGCUCUAACAAAGCAGGAGCUUGACUUAACCUACAUAAGAAGCCCCGGCCAACUACGUGCCAGCAGCCGCGGUAA